CCUACGGGAGGCAGCAGUGAGGAAUAUUGGUCAAUGGCCGGAAGGCUGAACCAGCCAAGCCGCGUGAAGGACGAAGGUGCCAAGCAUUGUAAACUUCUUUUGUCAAGGGACAAAAUCAGGCUCGAGAGCCUGACCGAGGGUACUUGAAGAAAAAGCAUCGGCUAACUCCGUGCCAGCAGCCGCGGUAAUACGGAGGAUGCGAGCGGUAUCCGGAUUUAGUGGGUUUAAAGGGUGCGUAGGCGGGCUGUUAAGUCAGCGGUAAAAGCCCGGGGCUCAACCCCGGCGAGCCGUUGAAAAUGGCUGUCUUGAGAUGUCGAGAGGUAUGCAGAAUGCGCAGUGUAGCGGUGAAAUGCUUAGAUAUUGCGCAGAACUCCGAUUGCGAAGGCAGCAUACCGGCGGCGAUCUGACGCUGAGGCACGAAAGCGUGGGUAUCGAACAGGAUUAGAUACCCUUGUAGUC
rnacentral:rRNA from 1 species